GGGAGUUUGGCCGAGUGGUCUAUGGCGUCAGAUUUAGGUAAACCCUAAAAUGAAAUCUCUGGUAUCUUCGGAUGCGCGAGUUCGAAUCUCGCAGCUCUCA